GGACCUAACUAAAGACUUUGUUUAUGACAUUGAUGCUAAAACACCAGAAAUUAAGGCUCAAAAUGUGGGGUUAGUCACAACCUUAACGGAGAAAGAUUUUCCUUUUAUUAAGGAUGUUGGGUUAAGUGUGAUUAGGGUUAAACUUGAACCUAAUGCUAUUAAGGCACCAUCAAACCUAAUUACCCCUGGGAUUCAGUUAAUUUACAUUGCUAGAGGAAGUGGAAAAAUUGAAAUUGUGGGAAUCAAUGGAAAACGUGUCUUGGAUGCUCAAGUUAAGGCUGGUCAUUUGAUUGUUGUGCCACAUUUUUUUGUGGUUGCUCAAAUUGCAGGUGAAGAAGAAGGAAUGGAGAGUUACUCUAUUGUGACAACUACCAAGUAAGUUAGAGUUUUAAAUGAGAAAUCAAAAUCACAAGUAACUCGACCAUUUUAAAUUGAAUUUAUUUAUCCAACGAAUUCAAUUUUUUAUUCAACUUAAACUCAUUUGAUUCGUAUAUUUUUUACAGACCUUUGUUUGAAGAGUUAGCCGGAAAGACAUCAGUAUGGGGAGCCUUGUCACCUAAUGUGCAACAAGUGUCUUUCAAUGUGGAUUCUGAGUUUAAUAAACUUUUCAUAUCUAAGGCCACAGAAACCACAAGUCUCAUUCUCCCUACCAUUUAGUUUGACUUGUUUAUAGUAUACCCCAAUAAUAUUCUUAUGUGUGGAAUAUUUCUUUUAUUGAAUAUGUGUGGAAUUUAUGUAAUAAGGUGUUUGAUUUUUUUAUUUUUUUUGUUAAUUAAUAAACCCUACCCAAAUGGUGGGUAGAGUUUGUAUGCCAUGAUGUUACAUCCAGGCACCACCAUUUAUAAAUUUUAAUUAUCGGAAAAAAAAAAAAGUUCUAUGAUAAGUAUAAAUAUUGAUUAAUGUGAAUUGUGAAACUACAUGGACAUCCAACCAUGAUAAGCUUAAUGUAUUUUGGUAAUACAUACGCAACAUGAUCUUAGUAUAUGUGAAUGUCGUGUCAAACAUGAGAUGUUGUAGAAGAGUUAUGAGCCUAGGGAAAGCUAUUGACUAAUCCAACUUAACUCUUAUCACUUGAACCCAAAGUCUGAAGGUGUUGUUAAAAAUAAUGAUAAUUAGAAAAUAAUGAUAAUUAGUUAGUAGUUUAGGUGAUUAGUUAAUUACUUGGUUGGUUAGUUAAGCUCCAAAUAUGUUUUGUUUUUAAGGGGUAUGCUCCAAGUAUGUUCUAUAAAUAGAAUAUUAAUGUAUUCAUUUUUAAAGUAUCUUUUAUCGAAAUUAGUCUCUGAGUUUGUUUGUUUUAUUUCUUCUUUAAAUAUCUAUAUAUAAAAAAGCAACCACAAAUCCCUCCAAAAUCUAAUUGAUGUGUCCUUCCUUAGUUUUACAUCGUCUGCUAAUCAAUUAAGAUGUAUGUCUUCAGACCUCUCAAUUGACAAUGAACAUUUCUUUUUAGACUCUUCAAUACCUCUAAGGUCUCUUAAAUAUGGUAGUUACGGGCUUUAGAGAUAUUAGAGAACGUAAGGAGAAACGUCCAUUGACAUAAAUCAAACCAUCAUGAGGAUUGUUUCAACCUAUUGACAUAAAUUUAUUUUUGGAUACUUGAAAGGAUUUCAUGUUACACACCACUUAUAUAUAAUUUUUUAAUAUUUGAAAAACACUCAAAUCUCUAACCCAACACCUCACACACAUUUCUUAAACAAGACCAACUAAACAUCUAUCAAUAGUUCUAUGUCUUUAUAUUUUAUUUUUUAAAAUAUUAAAGAGACGUAAGAUCCACUUAGAGAGAUGACUUAGUAAAACUCAUUUACUCUAUAAACCUCACUUGACUUUUCUAUCCAGUUAGGGUGUCUAUUAGGAAUAAAAGGCUGAUGAAGUUAAGCCUCCCUUUUAUUGAUGGUCUUAACCCAACAAACUUUAGGGUUCUGCUAUAUAACUAUUAUAUAAUUUCCUUUUUCAUAUCCUUAAUCAGUGCCUCGGAGGCAGCGGUUAGUAUUUCCCCAAACUUUAUUCACAUCAUUGCACUAUAAUGAGAAGAUAAAUUAAUUUUCUGUUCUAAUAAUAAAUUUGAAAAAAAAUUAAUAUAAAUAUAAAUUAUUCCAAAUUUAAUAUUACUCUCAAUUUUUUUAAUUUUAGCAAUAAAUAAAUAUAAAAGAAAAAUGUUAACGAGUGCUCCCGGGGUACUCUUUAAGCUAUCAAAAACAAGAAAUUAUUCUUUAAAAAAGUCAAAUAUUUCGAUUUCCAAAACAUUAAUUACAUGCAUUUUCAUAAUAUUCUUACUACUUAUGGUUCUUAAAGAGUUAACAAGACCCUAUAUAUUUAUAGAUGAAGAUUGUAAAAGUAUAGGAUAAAAGCACAUGUGAUGAAGCAUGAGUACGAUUGCACAAAAUAAAAAGGGUAUAUAUGGUGACAAUGGUGCAAUGUAAGAAUGAUCAUGAUUGAAAGGGAAAAUACAAAAGGGUAUAUAUGGUGUAUGUUGAAUGGGACAACUUCGGUGUCUCUAUUAUUGACGCUGUGUUGGACAAUGUUAGGAAGAAAACUAAGUCUGUAUUACUCAUUUGAUUUUCAACGGUUUUUAAGAUUUUGAUGACCUAAAACGAAACUAUAAUUUGGAUCCUAAUUAAUAAAUAGUAUUAAAAGUAAUUUUUUAUUACGUUGAGAAAUAAUCUAAUAAAAACAUUAGACUUUAUAUAAAAAAUAUUAAAUUUUUUAUUUAAUAUUCAAUUGAUCUAAUAGAGGUGGACCAAUUCAUUAUUGAGGGGAUGCAACUGUACACUUUAAAAUUUUUAAUUUUUCUUUUCAUUUUGAACCCCUCACAUUUUCAUUUUGCAUCAAUAAAUGUAUUUUUCACCGACGAAACCUAUCAUUUUUCACCUUGUUGUUGUUGACUGACAACUGACAUAUACAUGCAAUGGUACAAUGUUAACUGAAAAUUUUAUUUUUUGUUACAAUGUUAAUUGUAAUUUUUUGUUUACAAGGCGAAUGAGACAAACCAAACAAGAAAAGAAACGGAACAAAAGAAACAAAUUACUCCCUAAGGAAGAAAGUUCCAGAAGCAACGUUCCUUAGCAAAUUGAGAAGACCAUUUGGAGGGGAUGCAUGAAUUAACAAGUCAUGGUUCCCUUCUCUAAGGGUGUGAUAAAUAAAGACUUUGCUUUAAGAAAUAAGUUCUUUAAUGUACUGAAUUAAAACAAUAUAGAAAUGAUACUUCACAAAGGGGUCAUUGAUGAGGUUAAUGCAGAGAAGAUAAUCUGAGUAGUAUACAAACUCAUCAAUACCCAAGUCUUUGGCAGUGAUGAAAUCUUUGUAAAUUUCAGAAGUUCAGCGAACAUAAUAUAAAAAGAACAUGUAAGGUGAGUUGACAAAGCCGAUAAAAAGAAACCUAAAUUAUUUCAAAGGACGCCUCUAAAACCAGCCCUGGAUGAAGACCCAAGACAACUCUCAUCCACAUUUAGAAUGACACACUGAUGAUUACUAUUAUUCCACUUGAUUAAACAAUCAUCUGAAGCAACAUUAACAUUGUACGAGAAGCUAUACUUGAGGACUUCUACCGUAUUGAAUAUUGAAAAAGAGGCGGUUUAAGGACAUUGUUUUGCUAUUCAAGCACAUCAAAUUUCGGUGUCUCCAAGCCCAUCAAACACACGGUGAAAAGAUGAUUGAUUGUUGUUCCGGACUAGGCCGAGGCCCAAUCUCGGUUAAGACCCGACUCCAACUGAGAUUCAUUGCAGAGUGAAUCCAUAUUAUGGACAUGCACUAAAACCCACUAGAUCAUUGUCUAAACCUUUAACAUGGACUGUCCAGUUCAGAUCCAAUGUCGUGAUUAUUUCUAGAACACCAUUCAGGACACAUGUCCAAGUGAAGGCCUAACAGCCAAAAGCCCAUUUACCCACUAUAUAUACUAUUGCACAAUAUUGGAUCAUCUAUCUCCCUCUUUUCCCUAAUAUUUGAUUUCACUCUUUGAGCGUCAUAGCACGUGUAAGUACACCACCCUUCUUCGGUUGAGAAGGACUUACGACAGACUAUGACGGACCCAUGAUAGAUUACUCACUCUUCUUAGUAGCACUCAACAUAAUAAAUAUUAUUUAUAGGACUAAAAUAAAAUUAGUUAAAUAUUUUUUUUGUCCCUACAAAAUGAAGACCUUUUAAAUUUAAUUUUACUUAAUUUUAAUUGUUCUUUUAGUUCUUUCAAAAAAAUUCUACACAGUCUUAGUCCUUGAUAAAAUUAAAUAUGUUUAAUUACUCUUUAACGCAACUCUUAUGUUUUUAAACCAUUUUUUGCUAAAAUAUUUAAAUAUUAUAAAAAGUUUCUCCAUAAAAAUAAGUUCAAAUUUUAUUUCUAGGUCUAAAUUUUAGUUACUUUUUUCCUUGAAAAAAAUCAUAUUUAAUUAAUCUAAACUCUUAAAUUUUUUAAUAGGUUUUUAAAAGACAUGUUCAGAAAUUAUAAAUAGUAUAUUUAAUAAAAAAAAAAUUACGAAAUUUGGUAAAAGAGAGUGCCGUACCGUUUUGCUCAUCCGUGAAAUUUAGUAUGCACCGAAUUCGUACCAUUCAACAUUUCUCAAAAAAUUAAUACAUUGUUAAAUGACCAAAACUUUGCUUUUUUCCUGUUUUAUGUUUUGGUCCUGUUACAUACAAAACAAAACUAGGUAAUAUGGUCCUAUUACAGUAAAUUUCUUUUCAGACGCUACAGUGACCUAUCCUAUGUUGUGCAGGGACGCCACUCACUUGAUUGAAUUAUUGCUCUGUACGUUUGCAUUGAGGAAAAGAGUUUUCUUUUUCUUCUUUAACAAAAGAGUUAAGAGGACUAGCGUUCAAAGAAAACAAAGAACAAACUAAAACAUGAAUUUAACAUUUUUAAGCAUAUAAGCCUAUUUAAUAUUAUAAAAAAAAAAUUCUAAAUCUCGUUAGGAAAAGUUUUCAUAACAUGAAUGUUUCUUGAUUAUGUCGAAAUGAUAAAAUUAACAAGCUAACCAACACUCUGAUUUUCCUUCUAUAAAAUAUGUUAAAUGUCUAAUUUAAACAUGCCAACUCAAGAAUAACAUACAAUGAAUGCGACACAUCAAAGCAAGAGGAGCAGCCCUCUUAAUCAUGUUGUUAUGUCUCAUCUCAAAUCAUAUCUACAAGAAUCUUUGAAUCACUUUGUAAAACGAAAAGGGGUAUUGACACUCUCUUUUUAACAAUAUCUAUAACACUUACUCUUUUAUCGGAUAAAAUUCAUGUGGAUACAACACAUUUAAAAUGGAUCCCACAUAAAGUGAUAAUACACAUGGGUUCAUCCAAUAGAAAUUGAGUGUUAAAAGAGACAGCUAAAAACAGAGUGUUUCUAACAUUUUUCUUUACAACAAGAAAAACAAAUCUACAAUUAUUACCACAAGCUUUCCAAAUUACAUCAAUCGAAAAAAAUUUUGGCUUAAAUUCUAGCAUAUAUUUGUUUUUUUACUAAAGAAUAUUGUGUGUAUCAGGUAAAACCAAUAAUUUAUGAUUUGUUUGUUAUAAAUUAAAAUAAAAGUGAUUUUAUCAGUGAAUAAUUUAGAGAUUUAAAAGGAAAAUUAAGAUCUAUUUUGCGUUUGUUUAAAAAAGAAAUGUUACAAAAUUAACUCAAUCUUUCACACUUAUUUUCUCUCAUCUAGAAGAAUCUGGUUUUUAGAAGCUACUUCUAACAACUUCUAAUUCAAAGUUGUUUUUAUAUUAUAUCUUUUUAAAAAGUUGUAAAAUAGAUGCAAUACUCUUAAAAAUAAUUAUUAAAAAAAAAAAAAUUCCCUUCAAAAAGUUAUUUGAAAUGGACUCUUAAUUUAUAAUUUAUAAGCUCACAUGACAAAAAAAAAAAAAAAAAAACUUGUUUGAUAUUUCUAUUUUAUUAAAAAUUUAUAACUUAUUCCAAAGGUCGAUCCAAGAGUAAUGCCGCCAAUGCCCUCACUUUAGACCUAUCAACAAAAAGUUAAUGAUUAAGUGUUUUUUCACUAAGUAUAAACAAUGAAAUGAAGAUAAAUAUACAAUUUUAGCGAAUUAAAUUAACUUAAUAAUAAUAUAUAAAAGAUAUAUCAAAUUAAUAAAUUAAGUCACUAAUUUCUAAAUACUUUAGUAUUAUUUGAUAUACAUUUUAUUAUGAUUUAAGGAUAUUAUUUUAUGUUAUUUUAUAUUCAUCUUCUAAUUAAACCGCUAAUUUUACAACCCUUUAAUUAACUUAUCAAUUAUAACCUAUCCCCUAUUUUACAUCUCUCUUAUUUUCCAAGCCAAUCAUAAGCAAUCAACAACUUGGAACAGUAUCCUACUUCAUAUAUAUAUAUACCUCCCUCAGUCUUGAACUCAUGAACUGAGCUUGCGCGUUCACACUAUAUUUUUGAACUAAGGAACACUGAUAUUUAUAAAUUUUGAAAAGCUUUUUUAGGGGAGAAAAAAUUCAAUGGAGUUGGACCUAACACCUAAGGCAGCACAACCAUUGUUUGAAGGAGAUGGUGGUUGUUACUACAUUUGGUUAAGUUCUCAAGUUCCAGUUUUGGCUAAGACCAAUGUUGGUGCUGCCCAUCUUGUGCUUCACCCAGGAGGCUUAGCUCUUCCCCAUUAUGGAGAUUGUUCCAAAGUUGGUUACGUCGUAGAAGGUAAUAUUAGAGAAAUCUUAAACUAUUAAGUUUUGGCUUAAAUAUGUAUUUCCUUUCAAUUAAGGGUCGUUUAAAAAUUGGUCUAUGUAAUCGCUAAUCCUGACAAUUUACCCUUGCAUUGUUUAAUCAUUUAAAAUUUCGUCCCUCUCCCCACUUAAUCACUGCCACGUCACUAAUUUGAUGACGUGACAAUCACUGUCAUACAUGAAAUUUCAAUUUUACCCUUGAGCUUCCAAUUCUCUCUUCAAUAUUUUGUCCUCUUCUUAAAGGCAAAAUUGGAAUUUCACGUGUGAUAGUGAUUGCCACGUCAUCAAAUUAGUGACGUGGCAGUGAUUAAGUUGGUCAAAGGACGAAAUUUUAAAUGAUUAAUGAUUGCAAGGCUAGUUUGCAAGGAUUAGCAAAUACAUAGACCAAUUUUUAAACGAUAUCUAAUUGCAACGAUGAAAUACAUAUUUAAGCCUUAAGUUUUUUAUAAUGAAUGUGUUUAGUUAUUUAUUCAAAUGUCCUCAAAUGCAUGCAGGGACUAAUGGUGUAGUUGGAAUGAUACUCCCCAGCACCGGAAAAGAAGUAGUUUUGAAGCUUAAGCAAGGAGACAUUGUACCAGUACCCAUUGGAGCUGUUUCAUGGUGGUUCAAUGAUGGUGACUCAGACUUUAAAAUUAUAUAUCUUGGGGAAACUUCAAAUGCUCUUGUUCCAGGGGAAUUCACAUAUUUUAUCCUAGGUGGUGUUCUAGGACUUUUAGGAAGUUUUUCUAGUGAAUUAAUAAGCAAAGUAUACAAUUUUAAUAAAGAUGAGGUGACCAAGCUAACACAAAGCCAAACUGGGGUUACAAUAAUCAAGUUAGAAAAAGGCCAACCUAUGCCUAAGCCACAAAUGGACCUAACUAAAGACCUUGUUUAUGACAUUGAUGCUAAAGCCCCAGAAAUUAAGGAAAAAAAUGUGGGAUUAGUCACAAGCUUAACGGAGAAAGAUUUUCCUUUUAUUAAGGAUGUUGGGUUAAGUGUGAUUAGGGUUAAACUUGAACCUAAUGCUAUUAAGGCACCUUCAAACCUAAUUACCCCUGGGAUUCAGCUAAUUUACAUUGCUAGAGGAAGUGGAAAAAUUGAAAUUGUGGGAAUCAAUGGAAAACGUGUCUUGGAUUCUCAAGUUAAGCCUGGUCAUUUGAUUGUUGUACCAAAGUUCUUUGUGAUUGCUCAAAUUGCAGGUGAAGAAGGAAUGGAGAGUUACUCUAUUGUGACAACUACCAAG
rnacentral:lncRNA from 1 species